rnacentral:lncRNA from 1 species
GACAAACCAUAGAUAUCUUAUAUACACUAGAUAGCGCAUCUCGUUUAGUAAAAUUGAAGCCAACAAUAUUCCAGCGGUUACCCCCAUUUGAAUAGGUGGCGGCCAUGUUGGUCGUUCCCACUUGCUAAUAAACGCUUAAAAACAACAAUAAUUUUCAUCAUUUGAAUACUUUAAAAACGAAUUUGGAAUAGGGUUAACUUAAUGUUUAAGUUCCCUGUUUAAGAAAUAGAAAACAUACGAAUCUUCUAAUUUCAUGGGAACGACCUGAGACUGCAAUCACGCCGCUUCAAUUUUUGGAUUUCAGAAUAAUUAGAUGCACUAUCUAGUGUAUAUAAGAUAUCUAUGAGACAAAC